UUAACUCCGCCGUGAUGCUGAUGAUAGCAGUUGCAUAGAAUUUUUGAGAUGAAGAUGAUGAAGAUUCAGAGAGAAAGUGCCGAGAGAGGUGAAGUUGUUUUCAGAGAAUUUUUUGUAAAUGAUGGUGAUUCUUUUGGAGUUGUGAAGAAUGAUGAUAUUGAAGUUGAUGAAGGUGAAAGCAAAAGCAUGGUUGAAGAUUGAUGCUAGGUGAAGGUUGAAACCUAGUAACUUUUGGCCAUGAAGAAACAU